AGAUUGAGCGAUCUCCGCCAAUGUUCUCGAUCUUCUUUUCUUGAAUGAAGCCUUUUCAAGCCUCUCUUCUUCUCUCUCUCUCCCUAUCUUCUUUUGUGGCCCACGGCCUCCUCUUCUUUUUAUGUUUUGUGUUUCUCAUGUCACAUCCAUAAACUCCCUUUUAUAGAUAAAAAAUUAGAGUCCAUUUUGGACUCCUUUUCCAUGCAUAAGAAGGCUUCCCACGCCAUUGGUUCUGUGCACACGACUUUUUCCAUGCUACAAAAGUUUUUCAUGUCUCACGUAGUUUCCAUGCGCCA
rnacentral:lncRNA from 1 species